GACCCUUUGGAACUGAGGCUGGGGUAGUAGCGGGGGAACCAGGGAGGCGCGCCGAGGAGAGCGCGAGACCGACGCCGUCUCCGGCGGAAAAGCUCGCCAAGCCCCGCGCCGCCUCACACUGCCGCGGGCGCAGGUAAGGAGAAGCUUCGCUGCCCCUCUGCCCCACUGAGGGAUAAGUAAACAAGGGCUGUUUUUUUUGGGGGGGGGCUUGUGCUGCUGGUUGCCGCCUGUUGGGGUGUUUUGAGGGAGACGUGAGGCGGCCUCAGCGCUCACAAGGUUAAUUUGUUCGCCUGCUUCCCUCUCAACUUUGAAGGAACAAUUCUCUCUGCGCGCUUACUUGGGAGCAAGUCCCCCAUUGGAGCCGGGGAGGCUUGUUUCCCCGGGAAUGUGUCGAGGAGCCGGAGUUAACCCUUUCCUCCCCUUCUGCGCCCCUUCCAGUGCCUCUCGGCUGUGUGAAUGAAGGAGAGAAAAAAAGAAGAAGAAAAAAUAACUUUUAACAACUAGGAAAGAGGCACCUCUGUGUUACCAGGGAGCGUAUUUGAAAUUAGUUAUUCCUGAGAGAUGCAUGCCUGGGAGGGUGCAGCCGAUCAGAUACACUUUGUGCAAGUAAAAUGCCAUCGGUGCAAGUCAUCGCGUUUAGCAUUUUAGCCGUCGGGGUUCAUUCUCGCCAAGGGGAAGCCCAUUCAUGCCCUGUGCAAAUUGUAUGCGGCAAGGUCAGGACUUUACAUUGUCCAUGGAAGGUGAAUUCAAGUCUUUCUGCCUUCUUCCUGAACACACAUUCUCCUCACAGCCUGGUCUUCUUUGGGUGUUGCCUCGGAUAUGCACAUCUUUGUCCUCUCCUGCAGAGAAGAAUUCAGGGGCAAAGCAGGGUUGUGUUUGGGGUCCCCACAAAAGAGACUGACCCAGCUUCUGUAUGCCUGAACUAUGUGUGCAAAGAAUAAGAUCUAUGAAUCCAUGGACACAAGUUUCUUCCUCUGUUAGGAAAGGCUGAGAAAUAAAAAGAAAAGGUGGGUGGGGGGAAAUAAAUUCCCUGUUUGUUCCCCCUUGUCUAUCAAGUUGCCCUUUAUCAAUUGCUUAUGCUUUGGUAACAAAGAAUUCAGUGUACUCUGAAAUAAGACCCAUGGCAAGUAGCUCAGGUAGAAGAACAAAUGGGGAGUAUUCCGUUGAGUACGCUGGAAAACCUUGACAACAGGCAGCUCCUCUUGGAGAGUUCUGGUACUUGUUUUUAGCUGCACUGUAUAUAGUUUAUGUUGGAUAAGGAAAGAACUGGUUUACUCCUCCCAUCAAUGAUGGGGAAUUUCUGCCUUUUAUGCUGCUGCUGUUCUUUUUGAACCUUUAACAGAAAGUCAACAGGUGCAAGUGCCUUGCCAGGAAAAAGUAUAGCAAUUCUUGCUCCCCAAAUUGUCAUUAUAACAAUCUACAACUGUAACAUUGUAAAGUAGAGUCUACCUCUACUUUAAGAGGUAGACUCUUAAUUUCACAUUUAGGACCCAGGCCUUCACUAAGAGAAAUGGAGGUAAUUAAUAUGCUCUAUCCACGCAUCGUACUGCUAAUGCAGGUUCUGUUGCCUCAUCAUAUCAAGUGCUCGAGGAAAAGUUUGGUGCUUGUGAAGAAAUUUGGGGUUUCCACAAUCUUGACACAGUAAGGCAGUUUUGGAGCAUGGAGUUUUGGUACUUGAAGCUGAAACGUGUGUUUAUGGGGGCUUCCCCUCCAUUCUUCAACUUUGCCUAGUAUAAACAGGGCAAGAGAAAGUUGUAAUUCCACACAGCCCUUCAAAUGCUGCUUCCGCUUCGCUGCCUAGCCAGAGGCAAUACUGUGAGCAGUAAAACUUCCUGAUAUUUUCAGGUCACAGUACUCCCAUUAAUUGCAUGCAUUAAUGCUGCUAUCAUUCUUUUUAACCAGUAGCUAAGUCCCUGUUUUAAAGAGCUGAAUUGAGAUUUAGGCUGUGAAGUAUGCUUCAGUGGCUGCAACAUCACUGCACUCAGCUUUCAUAGCACCAGUUUUCUAUGGAGAGCUUGCUCAUAACUGAACCAAAACUGGACUGUUUGCUGCAUGACAGUUUCUAAGAAAACGGAUUAUAUGGUCACCUCUUAGACCAUACAAAAGGAAUAUGUAUUAAUCAGUUUGCCUGAUAGGAAAGGAAUCCACUGAGUUCAAAUCCUGAUGCAUUCCCCCCCGAAGGCUUCUCAAGAAGAUAUUGCAGGCUAGUCAUCUCUAGUUUCAUACUCAGUUCAUCUCUCUGAAGUCUAUCCAUAUAUGCAUUUGCACUGGACUUUAAACUGAGGGUCUGGCUCUAGUACGCAUGCAGCAAAGUAGAGUGAUAAAAUGGGCAGUGCUAAUUCAGACUGUGGGUGGGAGAUGCCAUUUCUGAAUGCAUAAAUUCCUUCCAGGUAUAUGUCCAGCACUGUGAGCUGGGCUGCUAUAACAUUUUUCUCAGGUGCUCUAGCUUUUUACUUGGUAAGACCUUUUUUCCACACAAGGAAGCAUUCAAAGUAUGGGGUUUCCUAAGGGCAGCUUGAAGUGCUGCACUCCAUUCCCUGUUUCUACCACAUAAUUCUUCUGCAAGUGUAGACCAUGCCUGAGGAAUGAGUUCAAGUGAUGGGGACACGGACACACACACAGCAGUAGUAAAUUAACUUUCUUCGUGUAUCUUCCCUUCCCAAGGUGCUUCUCUCAGGAGGGUGUACUGAACACUUCUUAACCUGUGCCUAACCCUUUUUUGGCUCGAGGGGCACAUUCCCUACUGACUAACCCUCUGUCUGAAGGCUGAAUGCUAGCAGUCUGUGUGGCCAUAUUCAAAGUGGGUGUGGCCAAAGUGGAUGAGGGGGUAGCUCUUUUUCAAAGUCACAGAGAGGAAGACACACACACACACACACACACACACACACACACAAUCACACACACAGCUGAUAGACACACUGUCAUACAUAACAAGCAGCAGACUCACUUUUUCCACACACUCUCUCUCUCACUAUUCACAGACUACCUAUACUGUAUUGCCUCUUUACCCUGCCCAUCAGAUCAAUCUGAUGAGGUUUGCUUUUACUUCGUGGGAGAUGCUACUGGAACCAUCAAGUGUUAAAUCUUCCCACCUGCCUUCCCUCCCCCUCCUUCCUAUGCCCAGGACCCUUAUGAGGAGGAAAUACUGCUUAAGUAUUUAAUAUUGGGAGGCUGGAUCUGGCCCAGGAGUCACCAGUUAGCUACCCCUAUUUAUUUAUUUAACUGUUUAACCGCCUUAUACCCAGAGAUCUCAGGGUGGUUCAUAG